ACGGGGAUUACACGGCGAUGCGAUUUCGGUCAAAUCAAGUGCAAUCUUAGUGGCGGACGGGUGAGUAACGCGUGGGUAACCUGCCUUGCACUGGGGGAUAACACUUAGAAAUAGGUGCUAAUACCGCAUAAGCGCACGGUCCUGCAUGGGACAGUGUGAAAAACUCCGGUGGUGCAAGAUGGACCCGCGUCUGAUUAGCUGGUUGGCGGGGUAAAGGCCCACCAAGGCGACGAUCAGUAGCCGGCCUGAGAGGGUGGACGGCCACAUUGGGACUGAGACACGGCCCAAACUCCUACGGGAGGCAGCAGUGGGGGAUAUUGGACAAUGGGGGGAACCCUGAUCCAGCGACGCCGCGUGAGUGAAGAAGUAUUUCGGUAUGUAAAGCUCUGUCAGCAGGGAAGAAAGCAAUGACGGUACCUGACCAAGAAGCCCCGGCUAACUACGUGCCAGCAGCCGCGGUAAUACGUAGGGGGCAAGCGUUAUCCGGAAUUAAUUGGUGUAAAGGGAGCGUACACCGCUGCGCAAGUCUGGAGUGAAAGGCGGGGGCCCAACCCCCGGACUGCUCUGGAAACUGUAUGGCUGGAGUGCAGGAGAGGUAAGCGGAAUUCCUAGUGUAGCGGUGAAAUGCGUAGCUUUUUGAGGGAACACCAGUGGGCGUGGGCGGCUUAACUGGACUGUAAUUGACGUUGAGGCUCGAAAGCGUGGGGAGCAAACAGGAUAAGAUACCCUGGUAGUCCACGCCGUAAACGAUGAUUACUAGGUGUCGGAGGGUAUGGACCCUCCGGUGCCGCAGCAAACGCAGUAAGUAAUCCACCUGGGGAGUACGUUCGCAAGAAUGAAACUCAAAGGAAUUGACGGGGACCCGCACAAGCGGUGGAGCAUGUGGUUUAAUCCGAAGCAACGCGAAGAACCUUACCAAGUCUUGACAUCUGGAUGACAGGGACGUAACGGUCCCCUUACUUCGGUACAUCCAAGACAGGUGGUGCAUGGUUGUCGUCAGCUCGUGUCGUGAGAUGUUGGGUUAAGUCCCGCAACGAGCGCAACCCUUAUCCUUAGUAGCCAGCGGGCAGGGCCGGGCACUCUAGGGAGACUGCCGGGGAUAACCCGGAGGAAGGUGGGGAUGACGUCAAAUCAUCAUGCCCCUUAUGAUUUGGGCUACACACGUGCUACAAUGGCGUAAACAGAGGGAAGCGAACCCGCGAGGGGGAGCAAAUCCCAAAAAUAACGUCCCAGUUCGGAUUGUAGCCUGCAACCCGGCUACAUGAAGCUGGAAUCGCUAGUAAUC
rnacentral:rRNA from 1 species